UGCCAGCCGCCGCGGUAAUACGGAGGGUGCAAGCGUUGUUCGGAAUUAUUGGGCGUAAAGCGCGUGUAGGCGGUUCGUUAAGUCUGAUGUGAAAGCCCGGGGCUCAACCCCGGAAGUGCAUUGGAAACUGGCGAACUUGAGUACGGGAGAAGAAAGUGGAAUUCCCGGUGUAGCGGUGGAAUGCGUAGAUAUCGGGAAGAACACCAGUGGCGAAGGCGACUUGCUGGGCCAUUGCUGACGCUGAGGUGCGAAAGCGUGGGGAGCAAACAGGAUUAGAUA
rnacentral:rRNA from 1 species